GGCGUAAAGCGCGCGCAGGUGGUUUCUUAAGUCUGAUGUGAAAGCCCACGGCUCUACCGUGGAGGGUCAUUGGAAACUGGGAGACUUGAGUGCAGAAGAGGAAAGUGGAAUUCCAUGUGUAGCGGUGAAAUGCGUAGAGAUAUGGAGGAACACCAGUGGCGAAGGCGACUUUCUGGUCUGUAACUGACACUGAGGCGCGAAAGCGUGGGGAGCAAACAGGAUUAGAUACCCUGGUAGUCCACGCCGUAAACGAUGAGUGCUAAGUGUUAGAGGGUUUCCGCCCUUUAGUGCUGAAGUUAACGCAUUAAGCACUCCGCCUGGGGAGUACGGCCGCAAGGCUGAAACUCAAAGGAAUUGACGGGGGCCCGC
rnacentral:rRNA from 1 species